GACGAACGCUGGCGGCGUGCUUAACACAUGCAAGUCGAACGGAAAGGCCCUGCUUUUGUGGGGUGCUCGAGUGGCGAACGGGUGAGUAACACGUGAGUAACCUGCCCUUGACUUUGGGAUAACUUCAGGAAACUGGGGCUAAUACCGGAUAGGAGCUCCUGCUGCAUGGUGGGGGUUGGAAAGUUUCGGCGGUUGGGGAUGGACUCGCGGCUUAUCAGCUUGAUGGUGGGGUAGUGGCUUACCAAGGCUUUGACGGGUAGCCGGCCUGAGAGGGUGACCGGCCACAUUGGGACUGAGAUACGGCCCAGACUCCUACGGGAGGCAGCAGUGGGGAAGAUUGCACAAUGGGCGGAAGCCUGAUGCAGCAACGCCGCGUGCGGGAUGACGGCCUUCGGGUUGUAAACCGCUUUCGCCUGUGACGAAGCGUGAGUGACGGUAAUGGGUAAAGAAGCACCGGCUAACUACGUG
rnacentral:rRNA from 1 species